rnacentral:rRNA from 1 species
CCCUUGAGUGGGGGGUAACUCCGCGAAAGCGGAGCUAAUACCGCGUAAGACUACAGAGUCGCAUGAUUCAGUAGUAAAAGGCUUCCCGAUUUUCGGGGAAUCGCUCAGGGAUGAGUCCGCGCCUGAUUAGCUAGUUGGUAGGGUAACAGCCUACCAAGGCAACGAUCAGUAGCCGACCUGAAAGGGUGUUCGGCCACACUGGAAUUGAGAUACGGUCCAGACUCCUACGGGAGGCAGCAGUGGGGAAUCUUGCGCAAUGGGGGAAACCCUGACGCAGUGACGCCGCGUGAACGAUGAAGUCCUUCGGGAUGUAAAGUUCUGUCAGGCGGGAAGAACCCCCUCCGAUUGUAUCGGAGGGAAUGACGGUACCGCCAGAGGAAGCACCGGCUAAUUCCGUGCCAGCAGCCGCGGUAAGACGGAGGGUGCAAGCGUUGUUCGGAAUUACUAGGCGUAAAGAGCGUGUAGGUGGUUAGCCAAGUCGGACGUGAAAAUUCCAAGCUUAACUUGGAACCUGCGUUCGAAACUGGUUAACUUGAGUGUAGGAGAGGAGAGCGGAAUUCCUAGUGUAGCGGUGAAAUGCGUAGAUAUUAGGAAGAACACCGGUGGCGAAGGCGGCUCUCUGGCCUAAAACUGACACUGAGACGCGAAAGCGUGGGUAGCGAACAGGAUUAGAUACCCUGGUAGUCCACGCCGUAAACGAUGGGCAUUAGGUGUAGGAGGUAUCCAAUCCUUCUGUGCCGAAGUUAACGCAUUAAAU